rnacentral:rRNA from 1 species
CCUACGGGUGGCUGCAGUAAGGAAUAUUGGUCAAUGGAGGAAACUCUGAACCAGCCAUCCCGCGUGAAGGAUGAAGGGGCUCUGCCUUGUAAACUUCUUUUGUCUGGGGCGAAAAAGCUCGAUUUAUCGAGAACUGACGGUACCAGAAGAAUAAGCACCGGCUAACUCCGUGCCAGCAGCCGCGGUAAUACGGAGGGUGCAGGCGGUACCGGGAAUAAAGGGGGCGAAGGGGUGUGAGUAAGGCUGAGUAGAAAGGCUGUGGCUUAACCAUGGAAGUGCCAUUGAUACUGCAGAGCUUGAAUGAGGUUGAGGUUGGCGGAAUGUGACAUGUAGCGGGGAAAUGCUUAGAUAUGUCAUGGAACACCGAUUGCGAAGGCAGCUGACUGGACCUAUAUUGACGCUGAGGCACGAAAGCGUGGGGAGCGAACAGGAUUAGAUACCCUUGUAGUC